UAAUCAAAAUCGGAGCGAUGCCUUUUGGGUGACGCACCGGAGUUUGGGUCAUCUUAACUCUUUUUUUUAAGAGACCUAAAAUUAACAUUCUUUUUUGCUCACUUUGAGACGUACAUAAUUUUUUUUUUAUUCGUCUACCCUGGUGGCAAAAAUUUUAUUAGAUCGUGAAUCACGUAGAGUGGACUCGCGUCUAUAAUUAUCAUGAU